ACGCUGGCGGCAUGCUUUACACAUGCAAGUCGGACGGCAGCACAGAGAAGCUUGCUUCUUGGGUGGCGAGUGGCGAACGGGUGAGUAAUAUAUCGGAACGUACCGAGUAAUGGGGGAUAACUAAUCGAAAGAUUAGCUAAUACCGCAUAUUCUCUGAGGAGGAAAGCAGGGGACCUUCGGGCCUUGCGUUAUUCGAGCGGCCGAUAUCUGAUUAGCUAGUUGGUGGGGUAAAGGCCUACCAAGGCGACGAUCAGUAGCGGGUCUGAGAGGAUGAUCUGCCACACUGGGACUGAGACACGGCCCAAACUCCUACGGGAGGCAGCAGUGGGGAAUUUUGGACAAUGGGCGCAAGCCUGAUCCAGCCAUGCCGCGUGUCUGAAGAAGGCCUUCGGGUUGUAAAGGACUUUUGUCAGGGAAGAAAAGGCUGUUGCUAAUACCGACAGCUGAUGACGGUACCUGAAGAAUAAGCACCGGCUAACUACGUGCCAGCAGCCGCGGUAAUACGUAGGGUGCGAGCGUUAAUCGGAAUUACUGGGCGUAAAGCGAGCGCAGACGGUUACUUAAGCAGGAUGUGAAAUCCCCGGGCUCAACCUGGGAACUGCGUUCUGAACUGGGUGACUAGAGUGUGUCAGAGGGAGGUAGAAUUCCACGUGUAGCAGUGAAAUGCGUAGAGAUGUGGAGGAAUACCGAUGGCGAAGGCAGCCUCCUGGGAUAACACUGACGUUCAUGCUCGAAAGCGUGGGUAGCAAACAGGAUUAGAUACCCUGGUAGUCCACGCCCUAAACGAUGUCAAUUAGCUGUUGGGCAACUUGAUUGCUUAGUAGCGUAGCUAACGCGUGAAAUUGACCGCCUUGGGGAGUACGGUCGCAAGAUUAAAACUCAAAGGAAUUGACGGGGACCCGCACAAGCGGUGG
rnacentral:rRNA from 1 species